AUUGAACGCUGGCGGCAUGCUUUACACAUGCAAGUCGAACGGUAGACCCUUUCGGGGGUUGAGAGUGGCGAACGGGUGAGUAAUGCAUCGGAACGUACCCAGUCGUGGGGGAUAACGUAGCGAAAGUUACGCUAAUACCGCAUACGACCUGAGGGUGAAAGCAGGGGAUCGCAAGACCUUGCGCGAUUGGAGCGGCCGAUGUCGGAUUAGCUAGUUGGUGAGGUAAAGGCUCACCAAGGCGACGAUCCGUAGCGGGUCUGAGAGGAUGAUCCGCCACACUGGGACUGAGACACGGCCCAGACUCCUACGGGAGGCAGCAGUGGGGAAUUUUGGACAAUGGGCGCAAGCCUGACCCAGCCAUGCCGCGUGCGGGAAGAAGGCCUCCGGGUUGUAAACCGCUUUCGGACGGAAAGAAAUCGCAUGGGUUAAUACCCUGUGUGGAUGACGGUACCGUAAGAAGAAGCACCGGCUAACUACGUGCCAGCCGCCGCCGUAACAC
rnacentral:rRNA from 1 species